UUGCCGGAAGUGGAGAGUGGCUGAUCAAAGUCCGGAGAUGGUACAUUAUGGCUGACAUGCAAAAUCUGGUAGAAAGAUUGGAGAGGGCAGUGGGCCACCUGGAGGCAGUAUCCCAUACCUCUGACAUGCACUGUGGGUAUGGAGACAGUCCUUCAAAAGCAGGAGCAGCUCCGUGCAUGCAGGCAUUUGACUUGCUGCUUGCCGGUCCUGUGACAGAAUACUUGAAGAUCAGUAAAGAGGUUGGGGGAGAUGUGCAGAAACAUGCGGAGAAGGUCCAUACAGGUUUGAAGUUGGAGCGAGCUCUCUUGGUUACAGUUUCUCAGUGUCAACAGCCAGCAGAUAACAAGCUUUCCGAUUUGUUGGCAUCCAUCUCAGAGCAGAUCAAAGAAGUGAUAACCUUUCAGGAGAAGAACUGAGGCAGCAACUUGCUUAAUCACCUGUCACCUGUCAGUGAAAGCAUCCAGGCCCGGGGCUGGGUGGCUAUGGCUCCCAAGGCUGGCCUUUAUGUGAAAAAAAUAAAUGAUGCUGUCAUGUUUUAUACAAACUGAGUCCUCAAAGAGUACAAAGAUGUGGACAAGAAGCAUGUAAUAAUAAUAACAUGGGUCAAAGCUUAUUGAAGUAUAUGGACAGAGCUGUAGGCUCACAUUAAGGAGUUCCAUACCACUGGGCUGGCAUAGAACAAAACGAGGCCUGUGGCAAAAGAACUGAGUGGACUGCCUUUUGGACCCUCUGCUGGACCAGAUCCUCCUUCCCCUCCACCAGGCUCCCCUCCUCCACCAGUCUCUCCCAGUUCAGGCUCAGAUGAGUCUGCUUCCUGCUCAGCACUGUUUGCACAGAUUAAUCAGGGGGAAAGCAUCACACAUGCCCUAAAACACGUGUCUGAUGACAUGAAGACUCUCAAGAACCCUGCCUUGAAGGCUCAGAGUGGUCCAGUACACAGUGGCCCCAAGCCAUUCUCUGCACCUAAACCCCAAACCAGCCCGUCCCCCAAACCAGCCACAAAGAAGGAGCCAGGUGUACUUGAACUGGAGGGCAAGAAGUGGAGAGUGGAAAAUCAGGAAAAUGUUUCCAACCUGGUGAUUGAUGACACAGAGCUGAAACAGGUGGCUUACAUUUACAAGUGUGUCAACACGACAUUGCAAAUCAAGGGCAAAAUUAACUCCACUGCAGUAGAUAACUCUAAGAAACUUGGCCUGGUAUUUGAUGAUGUAGUGGGCAUUGUGGAGAUAAUUAACAGUAGGGAUGUCAAAGUUCAGGUAAUGGGUAAAGUGCCAACCAUUUCCAUCAACAAAACAGAUGGCUGCCGUGCUUACCUGAGCAAAAAUUCCCUGGAUUGUGAAACAGUCACUGCCAAAUCUUCUGAGAAGAACGUCCUCAUUCCUACAGAAGGCAGUGGUUUUAAUGAAUUCCCAGUUCCUAAACAGUUCAAGACCCUAUGGAAUGGGCAGAUGUUGGUCACCACAGUGACAGAAAUUGCUGGAUAAGUGAAGCACCACUGGGUUCUUUGCCCUCCCUUCACACCAUGGGAUAAAUCUGUAUCAAGAUGGUUCUUUUCUAGAUUUUCUCUACCUUUCUGCUCUUAAAACUGCUUCUCUGCUCUGAGAAGCACAGCUACCUGCCUUCACUGAAAUAUACCUCAGGCUGAGAUUUGGGGUGGGAUAGCAGGUCAGUUGAUCUUCCGCAGGAAGGUGCAGCUUUUCCGUAUCAGCUCAACCAUGCCGCCAGUCCAUUCUUAAGGAACUGCCAACCAGGACUGAUGAUGCAUUUUAGCUUUGAGCUUUUGGGCAUUAUUCUACCAACAAAUAGUCCAUUGAGAAGAAAACAGUCCCAGGAAUUAACAGAUCAGAAUGUUCACACUGAUUAAUCUUUUUCUAACAAUGAGCAUGAAGAUAGCAGAAGCUGGUGUGUUUCCAGAUGGUUCUUCUAACCAAACUAAUUUUUUACUGUUGACAAGUGAGGCAAGGGUUGCACUGGACCAAAGACUGAGGCUUGGCCAUCUGGCAUUCCACACAAAGUUGUUCCCUAUAAGCAUUCCUUUUAUUCUCUAUUCCAUCCUGGGUCUGCCUCAUGCUGUGGCAGUGCCCUUCAUCCAGAGCAGUUAAAGGAGUCUUGGACCCUUUCUCUAGGAUUCCUGCCCAGCACCUUCUACAGAGAUGACUUAAAAGGAAAAAAAAAAAAAAAGGAAAAACACCAUUCCGAGGAGUCUGGCAUUCCUGAAUCCUCCUUCCUUGCUAGGUGCCUGUCACCUGUCUUCACUCUCUCCUUUUCCCUGUCAUGCUCAUCAGCCAUGGCUUCUGUCCAAGCACCUGAACAGAGGACUAAAACCUCCAUUGCAGGCUGGUUUUAGGUCUUGAUUUAUGUAAAAAUUUUGCACAGCAUUGCUAAUGUAAAGUUCAGUUUUUUCCCUCUAGGACAAACACUUAACAAAAUGUGCAACUUUUUUUGAUGGGAAGAGAGAUUGUCCUGUGAUUUCUACCCAUUUCCUGAGGCCUGUGGAAAUAAACCUUUAUGUACCUAAAGUUAAAAAAAAAAAAAAAAAAAGAAAGAAGCCAGGGAAAGGAGGAGUGUGUGUAGUCCUGGUGGUUAGGAUGGAGGAGAAGGAGAUUUUAUAUCAGGUGGUCAGAGAAGGCCUGAUCUCUGAGUAAAGAUGUAAAGGAGACAUGGGAGUGAACCAAGAGGAUAUUUUAGGGAAGGAUAUUCCAUGCAGAGGGCACAAUGAGGACAUGAGGCAGGCAUAUGCCUGCAGUGUGGAAGCCGCAAGGCCAGCAUGGCUGGAGUGUAAUGAGCAGGCAGGUAUAUGACUCUGAUGUGGGGAGACAGCUUGUAGAUUAACUUGUAGACCAGGGUAUGGGGUUUGGCUUUUACUUGACUGAAAUCUAAAAUAAUCAGAGUAUUUGAUUAGAGUAGUGCUGUGAUCUUAUGUUUUGACCAGAUCACUCAGGCUGCUGUGGAGAUUAGAUUGAAGGGGAGCAAGACCAAUAACCCAUCAAGAUUGAAGUGACUUAGAUCAAUGUGAUAGCAGUAGGAGGGGAAGGAGUUGUCGAUUAUACUUUGAAGAUAGAGCAAUAAGAUCCACUAAUGGAUCUAAUAUGAGAUAUAUGAGAAAGAGAAGAAUUAAGGAUGACUUCAGUAUUUUUGAUGUGAUGAUCUGUAAGGAGUGAAGUUGCCUUUAAAUGAGAUGGGGUAGAUGGAAAUGAUUGGGAACUCAGUUUUGGACAUGUUGAGUUUGAGAUGCUUGCUAGUUCUCAAAGUGGAGGUGUCAGGUAGGCAGUUGACAAUGCGAGUAUGGAGUUCAAGGCUUAGAUAAGUGGGGUGUUUGUGUCUUUGUGUAUGUGGAAGGGGUCACCAUAUGGAUGAGAUGUAUUGCCAUGGUAAGGGAUGACAUCACCAAGGGCAUGAAUUUAGACAAAAAAGAGAAGUUGAAGAGGAAAACCAGGGGAAGUAGAGCCCCAGAAGCCUAGUGAAAAAGAAUCUUUCAACCCUUGGAGCUGUUUUUGGUUGUCAUAACUGGAAGGGGUGGUUAGGAGGGG